ensembl:miRNA MIR30D microRNA mir-30d
AAGUCUGUUGUUGUAAACAUCCCCGACUGGAAGCUGUUCCACACAGCUAAGCUUUCAGUCAGAUGUUUGCUGCUACCGGCU